CCUCGACUCUGGAGUAAAAGUCCCUGGCAAUUUCCAACUGAUGGAAAAACUCAAAGGCCAGAAAGGAGUAGGAGAUGGCACAGUUAGCUGCGGUCCAGUAGAUGAUGAAGACAUAACACUUACAAGAUGGCUAUAAAUGUCAAUGUCUUAAAUUCACUGUGCCUCCUAUAAAAAAAAAUUAGCCUGAUUAUGUUAAAAAGCUUGCCAAUGUUAUAUUCUUUUUUUAUUUUACCAGCUUCAGUUUAUAUACUCAAACCUCCUCUGAUGCUGUUUUAUUCCUCUAAAUGACAAUUUAGGAAAACUGAAUACACAGCCUUAAAAUAGAAGGUGAAGCUAUAGACUCAGAAGCAGCCCCCAUUAUAAGACUUGUAAAAAAGUGAAUAUGAAUGGAGCUAAUUGUUCUAAUUGAGUUGUGGACCCUAGAGCCAAAUAGUGCUAGCAAAAGGACAGAAUUCACAUAGCUUCAAAGUUGUCCUGCAAGAGCUUUGGUGGCUAAUGACAUCUAAAGAAAAUAUAAAACUUGCUCAGAUGCCUGAAGGACAAUGUUCCAGCAAUUAA
rnacentral:lncRNA from 1 species